rnacentral:rRNA from 1 species
UACGUAGGGUGCGAGCGUUGUCCGGAAUUAUUGGGCGUAAAGAGCUUGUAGGCGGUUUGUCGCGUCUGCCGUGAAAAUUCGAGGCUCAACCUCGAACUUGCGGUGGGUACGGGCAGACUAGAGUGUGGUAGGGGAGACUGGAAUUCCUGGUGUAGCGGUGAAAUGCGCAAAUAUCAGGAGGAACACCGGUGGCGAAGGCGGUUCUCUGGGCAUUACCUGACGCUGAGGCGCGAAAGCUAGGGGAGCAAACGGG